AAUACAUUCCAUACCCACUAUACACCUUGCAUAUUUGGGGAUCUUAUUCCCUUUCAAAUAAUGACAUUUCUAUUGCAUUUUUAGCUUUGAGAAUUUACCUGGUGCCAAAGAAGCUCUCCAUUGACUUGCUUUCUAUAGAUCGUUGAGAACGAGUGGAUGAUGGGCCCGUUGUUACCGAGGGAGCAGCACUGAGGGCGUCUGAGACAGCAGUUUGAAUAAAAUGAGGUUUUAAGUGACUUAGUGACGGGGCAUGUAAACAAACAUGUUUUAGGCAAAUGGACAGCACUUACUCGAGUCCCAGGAAGUAAGGCUACACGGUGAGAGUUCCAUGUAUCCUCGCCCUCUUCACAGUCUCUACUGGUGGGCCUUCUGCCCAGACCUGCAGAAUACGUUUUCUGCUUGCGACUACCCGAGUGGGAACUGCGACUGCUUCCCAAAAGUAUCCCUAAAGAAACACAGAACUCAAUGAAUAAGCAUAUUCAUAAAGCAAGUACUAAUUUAGCUGUGACCUGUGAGCAUAUGGUUGGCACACCUGUAUUUUGGACCUCCACGUCAUCCUGGCAGCCUUUGUUAGGGUUGCUGUCAAUUAGGGUGAAGGCUGUGUACAUGCAGACGAUGUUGCAAUGUUUACUGGUCUGGGUGGCCUUCACACGGUACCGUUUAGCUGAACCUAAAGACAACAUAUUUCUCUUAUGACAGAGCGAGCGGUCAGCUGGUGAAUGAUCUCCCCCCAAGAUUCCCUUUCUCUUCCUCCUCGUUUACUUUUACAACCUUCCACCACUGUCGCCCUCUGGUCCUCAGGGACCAAGAGGUGGUCCAGGUUCAC